GGCAAUAGCAUCCGAGAGCGGACGGAUAUUUUAGUCACGUGACCACAAAUUUUACAAAUAAUCAAGAUUUAUCUGAAAUAAACGAACGGUACAGAGCAUCCUGAGCUUCAGCUGUUAUGUCAGUUCUUUGAUGUAUGCAUGUGGCGCCCUUCGUGGCUAAAUGAAAUGAAAUCAUUAGUAAAACUUAAUCAAUAUUCAUAAUAUACACUUUUACUGUCUUGCCUGCUGAAGAGGCGUUAGAAAUUUAUGCUUUUUUUAACUAUACUAAGAAGUUUUAAGUUGAUUUUGUUUUCAAUAUUGAAAAAUACGGAAAAAUUCUGAAGUGCUGAUCAUACUUUGAGAGAAAUGGCAACCUGAAGUAUUCCAUAAAAUAUGCAGUGCUCAUUUUGUGUGAAACGUGAGGAAUAAUGAUCAUAAGAGAACUUCAUUUAGCCCAAUGAUUUGUAGAGAAGUAAAAAAAAACGGAUAUCUAAUUCCUCUACAAAAAUGAAAAGAUAUAAAAGAAAAAUGGUCUGAUCUAGUAGGAAGUAUAUUUCCAAGGAGGAAUCACUUCUAAAACCUCCAUUCGUUUCAUGAAGACAAAAAUGUUUCAAUGGAAGUUUUAGAAGGAAAAAAGGAAUUUUCAUGUCAAAUUGAUCCAAGUGAUUUGGAAGAUGAUAUCUUUUAUUUUCAUCAGUAAUUUAAUGGACUAUGGUGCCAAGGGAAUGUGUGAUGGGAUAACUUACUGCCAUAGGAUAAAUAAAUUAUAUGUAAAAUCAAUGCACUAUUUGAUAAUAAUGAUAAUUUAUUUGCACACAAGAAAUCCAUAAAAACAUACGCCAUCAAAAGUUGACAUGGCUUGUCAAUCAAAAAAUCUUAAACUAUAAAUGAAUAGUAUCAAUAGUCAUUGUAAUGAAAACAUUAAUAUGUUUGUAGUUACAAAUUAUCAAAUAAUAUUUACAAAAAUGAUUUCUAAAUAAAUCACUCAACCUGUAUAUUGUAUGAUCCAAUAGCAAAUCUUUUACUCUCUUACUAAUAACAACUGGACUCAAAUUUUUCAAUAAUCUGGAAGUUAUAACAUGUAAAACUUCAGACAUGUAUGAUUCGGAACUUUUCUUAUUCUGGAUGGUCUUAUUACAGCACAAUUAAGGCACAAUGUGUAAAGCAUAUUUUUAAAAUAAAUCAUUUCAAGUUA